ACAAGAAAUUGCCGUCCGUGGCCCAGCAAACAUUUUUUUUAACAAAUGAACGCCAAAAACCCACAGUGUUGCAGAAUAAUUUUAAAAUAACGGGAUUAUCGCUGCCCAGGCCUCUUCGGGUCCUUUUCAGCCAGGUCUUGAAGUGGUGGGAAGUGCACUCCUUGCGAAGAUGGUAUGAAUUUCUCAGUCUGCCGUCACAAGUCACUAUUGGAUGAGGAUGGUCAAUGUCAGUUGUAGGAACUGAAUAGAGUCAUAGGAGAGGGCCCAUUCACACCAAAGCCUGAUUAUCAAGAAGGUUCUGGCAGGAUGACACAUACGACAGCUGCAGCAGCAAAACAUGAAUCCAAAGGCUUGGAAAGCAACAAUAAAGAGGAAAAAAUGCAAUACUAAGGAAAAGAAGACAUGAUAUUAGAAGCAGCAUGAAGAAAUGCAGCUUUAAGAGCUGGAGAGGUGGAGAGACGUCAUCUGUAGAGGCACCUAAAGAAAAAGGAGAAGAAUGCCAGGUUCAGCAUGGUGUAUCCAUUCUCAAGAUGGCUUCAUGAAACACUGAAGAUGUCAAACAAUAAGACAACACUCAUUGUGUCGGUGACCGGCCAUUGAAAAGCCCCGUGAGCUGUGGAAGGCAGGGAGCUGAUCACUACGCCGCACAAAUCUACAAUCUGGGUGCUUUGGGUUUAUCGGUUACCAGUUAAGUCAGGGACCCUUCACCUCCCUUCAUUUACUCAAAUCCUGAUCUGAACUCCCCAGCAGCCCAGACAAACAAAUCUCAGGACAAGACAUCAUGAGUGGAAGUGACACAGCUUAGCUUAGUGUGAGCCAUAUCCAGAGAUGAAUGCAGAACUGAUAUGGGAAUGGACAUGAGAUAAAGAAGGAGAUAGAGGCAAUGAAAGCAGAAACGUUCUUUGUGGCUUCAGUUACUGAUACAUCUACAUUCUUAAAUUUACUUCAAUGACUUGGCCUCUCCUGAUGGCCACAAAUCCCAGAUACAAGUAAAUGAAGUGCCCGAGAACUUGUGUCACAUCAGCGGCUGCUGUGCAUGGGCGGACUUCACCACAGAUCACAACUCUCCGUUGGCUUCUUCUUUCAAACCUUUUAUGUUUAGGAAAUAUAAACUACAACUAGUCAUAGACUGUCCACGACCAACACCUAACAGUAGCACAUCAAUCAACGCACCUUUCCCAUCACUUGAGGGGGAAUCUGCUGUCUAUAAAAGCUCUUGAAGCAGGCUUAGGCUCCGUUUUUAGCUACAUGGCAUGUAAAAUGCUAUUAAAAAUGUUUUACAUACUCUACUAACACAUGAAACUACAUGCUAUUAUCACUAUUAUUUUUAAUUAUGACUCAUUGUUAUAAAAAUAUUUAGUAAACAAAAGUGUGAUAGCUCUAUCUUUAACAAAAUUAAAAACUCUCAGAACAGUGAACAGAGUCUCUGAAUGUAGCCUGCUAUGCCAUCUGAAAGUUUUAGAAUUUCUUUUCUGUAUUUGAGGGCCAAAGAAAUUCCCCAUUAGGCUGUUUGUAAUUCCAUGACUUCUCAGUGAGUAUUUUUCAUAGACUUUAACAAUACAUCCUGUAUUUCUAGGUUCUUAGGGAAGGUGUUGUGUAGUUUUGUAUGGAGACAACAGGAGAUUCCUGGCUGUAUGUCUGCCAGCUUAAAAGUGGGUGAGCUGCCCCGCACACCUUGACAGUGGUGGUGUGUUGGCUCUCAGAUCAGCAGUUGCAUUACCUUUUAUUUUUUCUUCAUUCUUCUCCAGUUUGUUUUGCUGUGCUGUACGAUUUAGGGUUUUGUUUUCUAAUUUGAUGACCUGCUUUGCUUGCCUGUUGGGUCGUAUCUGUUCUUCUGGUCCUUUAUAAAGAGAACCACUGCCUUUACUAAUUAUGGCUGCACAGCACAACAGAACAAACUGGAGAAGAAUGAAGAAAAAAAAAGAUAAUGUAAUCACCAGGGAGUUCAAUUAUUUGGAAUAAACUUCAAAUAAGAAAAAAUAUAAUACACUGAAAAAAGUAUAACCUCCAUUCAACUUAAAAUAAUUAAGGUAAUGAUUCACACUUAAUAUCUUCAAUCUGAACCAAUAUAAUUCUUUUUAUCUUAUUGAACCCACAAUUUUUAAGUUGAGGCAAAUCAUUUAGAGUGAUUGGGUGUAAUUCAAUACAACUCGGAGUCCUGCCACGUGCAAAAGUUCACUGAUGACACUGCUAUCGUGGGCUGCAUCAGGAAUGGGCAGGAGGAGGAGUAUAGGGACCUAAUCAAGGACUUUGUUAAAUGGUGCGACUCAAGCCACCUACACCUGAACACCAGCAAAACCAAAGAGCUGGUGGUGGAUUUUAGGAGGACCAGACCCCUCAUGGACCCCGUGAUCAUCAGAGGUGACUGUGUGCAGAGGUUGCAGACCUAUAAGUACCUGGGAGUGCAGCUGGAUGAUAAAUUAGACUGG